UGGGGAAUCUUGGACAAUGGGGGCAACCCUGAUCCAGCCAUGCCGCGUGAGUGAUGAAGGCCUUAGGGUCGUAAAGCUCUUUCGCCUGUGAAGAUAAUGACGGUAGCAGGUAAAGAAACCCCGGCUAACUCCGUGCCAGCAGCCGCGGUAAUACGGAGGGGGUUAGCGUUGUUCGGAAUUACUGGGCGUAAAGCGCACGUAGGCGGACCAGAAAGUUGGGGGUGAAAUCCCGGGGGCUCAACCCCGGAACUGCCUCCAAAACUAUUGGUCUAGAGUUCGAGAGAGGUGAGUGGAAUUCCAAGUGUAGAGGUGAAAUUCGUAGAUAUUUGGAGGAACACCAGUGGCGAAGGCGGCUCACUGGCUCGAUACUGACGCUGAGGUGCGAAAGUGUGGGGAGCAAAACAGGAUUAGAUACCCUGGUAGUCCACACCGUAAAACGAUGAAUGCCAGUCGUCGGGUAGCAUGCUAUUCGGUGACACACCUAACGGAUUAAGCAUUCCGCCU
rnacentral:rRNA from 1 species